UGGAGGGAGUGGGAUGGAGGGCUGCCCCAGUUGCCCCUCGUUUUUAUUUUUCAAUAGAGCCGUCGACUUUCGCCCUACUGGCAAGGCAGGCGGGCGGGGAGACAGGGAGCUUGGGAAUGAGAUGUGAUAUCGCCUUGACGCUCAACCAUUGUGAUUUAUUCCCGCUCCUCCGUCCUGCAAGGGGCGUUAUUAAUCCUCGAGGCCCGCGACGGGAGUCUUUUUUUUGUUUGUUUCUCUCUGAGUUGCAGCUCGAUCGCACGCUGCUGCUGCUGCUGCUGGUGAUGAUGAUCAAGUCCAGUGUCGUCGCUGCUACGUGUGUUACAUGGGGCCACCGUCAGAGUGGAGACUGCCUCGCAAAGGAUACAUCGGAGGAGCGGUGGUGCAGCGGUUAGGGCACCGAGAUCUGAGUUCUACGCCCGGACACGGCCCACGUCAGCAGCGAGCGAUGAUAGCCGGAUGCCUUGGUUUCCUGGGCGGACUUGGGACAUCCACCGACCUGCCACUGACCAACUCUGAAUCCGUUCGUCGGCACCGGGGUUCGAUGUCGCACCCCGAAGACGUGGAGUUCGAUCCGCAGCCACGGCUCACGACAGUCGCAUGCAAACCCCCACAACUCGCGAUGACCAGCGCGGUGAAGUAUGGUCAGCCAACCCUUUACCAAUCGACACGGUAUUGGAGGGGUGGUGGUGGUGGUGGUAUAUCGUCCUCUAUAAGUGGAUUGACAAUGGCCUGGCAAUGUACAUCAGUAUUAUAAUGAAUGUCGCUAUCUGACAUGCAUUGGUAUCUAUCUUGGCGCAGUAUACGUGUGGCCGUGUACACAGUGCACAAUGUUAUCACUGACCCACACCACACACACACACAUGCAAAGACACAGAUCCCCCGUAUAGCCUGUAGCAGACUGGAGGGGCAAGUGCUGCUAGCGAGCACCUAUGAAGGCCGGCACGGCACA